rnacentral:rRNA from 1 species
GUAAACGUUGGGCACUAGGUGUGGGGGACAUUCCACGUUUUCCGCGCCGUAGCUAACGCAUUAAGUGCCCCGCCUGGGGAGUACGGCCGCAAGGCUAAAACUCAAAGGAAUUGACGGGGGCCCGCACAAGCGGCGGAGCAUGCGGAUUAAUUCGAUGCAACGCGAAGAACCUUACCAAGGCUUGACAUUCACCGGACCGCCCCAGAGAUGGGGUUUCCCUUCGGGGCUGGUGGACAGGUGGUGCAUGGUUGUCGUCAGCUCGUGUCGUGAGAUGUUGGGUUAAGUCCCGCAACGAGCGCAACCCUCGUUCUAUGUUGCCAGCACGUGAUGGUGGGGACUCAUAGGAGACUGCCGGGGUCAACUCGGAGGAAGGUGGGGAUGACGUCAAAUCAUCAUGCCCCUUAUGUCUUGGGCUUCACGCAUGCUACAAUGGCCGGUACAAAGGGUUGCGAUACUGUGAGGUGGAGCUAAUCCCAAAAAGCCGGUCUCAGUUCGGAUUGAGGUCUGCAACUCGACCUCAUGAAGUCGGAGUCGCUAGUAAUCGCAGAUCAGCAACGCUGCGGUGAAUACGUUCCCGGGCCUUGUACACACCGCCCGUCAAGUCACGAAAGUUGGUAACACCCGAAGCCCGGUGGCCUAACCCCUUGUGGGAGGGAGCCGUCGAAGGUGGGACUGGCGAUUGGGACU